UACAGAGGUCCCCAGCGUUGUUCGGAUUCACUGGGCGUAAAGGGUGCGUAGGCGGUCGGGUAAGUCUGAUGUGAAAUCUCACAACUUAACUGUGAAACUGCAUUGGAUACUAUCCGGCUCGAGGAAUGGAGGGGAGACUGGAAUACUUGGUGUAGCAGUGAAAUGCGUAGAUAUCAAGUGGAACACCAGUGGCGAAGGCGAGUCUCUGGACAUUUCCUGACGCUGAGGCACGAAAGCCAGGGGAGCAAACGGG
rnacentral:rRNA from 1 species